rfam:Brassica rapa chromosome A9, whole genome shotgun sequence.
GGAAUAUAAGAAUCCUUCUCUUAACUUUUAACUAAAAAAACUAAGAACCGGCUCUUAAAUAGCCGGUUCUUAACCUUUUUAGUUAAAAAUUAAGAGACGAAUUCUUAUUUUUC